UGGAGGCUGAUAUUUCCCCUAUAAUCUUAAAACGGCCAUCUGAGAUGGGCUCCACAACAGCAAUGGCUGCAGGGUCUUUGGGCAGCUUUUGUGUAGCUUCGAUGGCUGGAAAAGAGGCCUCAACUGAAUAGUAGUUCAAGUUAAUGGCUCCAACAGAAGAAAUGGAUGAAAGAGGGAGUGGAGCUAGAGCACCAAGGCAACCAAUCAGAAAACGGAUGACAUCUUCUCUAGAGAGACAGCAGAACUUGUCACGGCUGGAACUAGGGGUAGAUGAGGAAGGGCGACUGGUGUUGAUGGUGAGGUUAUUGCUGCUGCUGUUGCUGGAAUCAACAUUCUUGAGCCACUUACCAUUGUAGAGGAUUGAGAAUCGUUUGCUCAUGCCUUUCCAUACUGUGCCUUUGGUGACUAGAAGACGCUUUACACCUUGCUUCAUCAUCUCCAGUGCAUCAAUCAAUCUUGUUGCUGGAUCAACCUGUUUCAAUAGAGAGUUAUCAGGAACAACUACCUCAGAAACCGGGGUCUUCAUGGCCUUCUCCUGAUCCUCCAAGCUCUGAGCUCUAGCCAAAAACGCCACAAUAUCGAGAGAUUUAAGGAUACCCACAAACCUCUGCUGCCUCAUUUCGUUAUUCUCAAUCAUGGCCACGUGCGAUCUCCUCUUCCACACCGGAAUACCACACUCCGUUGACUCUCCAAUUGCCCGAAUCGCCGAUUCCACCGUCUCAGUCUCGCAGAAUUCCACCAUUUCCGGCUUUCCCACCGUCAGAUCCCCCACGACAUGGUAUAGAAACACCGACGCCAUCCAAAUUAACUGUUAAAACACAAUUGGAUAUCUUAAACAAUUCUUGAAUUAUUGCUGAAUAUCCGUUCCACCUUUUUCAACCAAACAGAAUCUGGGAAAAUCACUUUGUAAUAAACGGUAGAUAUAUAAAAUUUUGUGUGUCGCACCUU
rnacentral:misc_RNA from 1 species